rnacentral:rRNA from 1 species
UGAACGCUAGCGGGAGGCCUAAUACAUGCAAGUCGAGCGGUAGAGUACUUCGGUACUUGAGAGCGGCGCACGGGUGAGUAACGCGUACAUGACCUACCUUUAAGACUGUGAUAGCCCUGGGAAACUGGGAUUAAUAACGGAUGUGAUAAUAGAUAUAAGGAUUUAUUAUUAAAGCUGAGGCGCUUAGAGAUGGGUGUGCGUCUGAUUAGCUAGUUGGUAAGGUAACGGCUUACCAAGGCGACGAUCAGUAGGGGGCGUGAGAGCGUGGCCCCCCACACGGGUACUGAGACACGGACCCGACUCCUACGGGAGGCAGCAGUAAGGAAUAUUGGUCAAUGGACGAAAGUCUGAACCAGCCAUCCCGCGUGCAGGAUGACGGCCCUAUGGGUUGUAAACUGCUUUUAGCAGAGACGAAACGCUGUCAUUUAUGAUGGUCUGACGGUAUCUGCAGAAUAAGCACCGGCUAACUCCGCGCCAGCAGCCGC